UACGGAGGAUGCGAGCGUUAUCCGGAUUUAUUGGGUUUAAAGGGUGCGUAGGCGGGCUGUUAAGUCAGCGGUCAAAUGUCGGGGCUCAACCCCGGCCUGCCGUUGAAACUGGCGGCCUCGAGUGGGCGAGAAGUAUGCGGAAUGCGUGGUGUAGCGGUGAAAUGCAUAGAUAUCAUGAAGAACUCCGAUCGCGAAGGCAAGUGUCCGGGGUGCAACUGACGCUGAGGCUCGAAAGUGCGGGUAUCAAACAGG
rnacentral:rRNA from 1 species